AUUGCCAGUUCGAGCGAAUGGAUUUAAGAAGCUUGCUUCCUUUAUGAAGUUUAGCGGCGGACGGGUGAGUUAACACGUGGGUAACCUGCCCAUAAGACUGGGAUAACUCCGGGAAACCGGGGCUAAUACCGGAUAACAUUUUGAACCGCAGGUUCGAAAUUGAAAGGCGGCUUCGGCUGUCACUUAUGGAUGGACCCGCGUCGCAUUAGCUAGUUGGUGAGGUAACGGCUCACCAAGGCAACGAUGCGUAGCCGACCUGAGAGGGUGAUCGGCCACACUGGGACUGAGACACGGCCCAGACUCCUACGGGAGGCAGCAGUAGGGAAUCUUCCGCAAUGGACGAAAGUCUGACGGAGCAACGCCGCGUGAGUGAUGAAGGCUUUCGGGUCGUAAAACUCUGUUGUUAGGGAAGAACAAGUGCUAGUUGAAUAAGCUGGCACCUUGACGGUACCUAACCAGAAAGCCACGGCUAACUACGUGCCAGCAGCCC
rnacentral:rRNA from 2 species